AAAACGACUCUCGGCAACGGAUAUCUCGGCUCUCGCAUCGAUGAAGAACGUAGCGAAAUGCGAUACUUGGUGUGAAUUGCAGAAUCCCGCGAACCAUCGAGUCUUUGAACGCAAGUUGCGCCCAAAGCCUUUCGGCCGAGGGCACGUCUGCCUGGGUGUCACGCAACAU
rnacentral:rRNA from 1 species